ACGCUCCUUUUUUUAAGUUUGGGCGACAAGUCGCAAAUUGGCUCUUGUUAAUCCUCAGCGUUGGCAACAAGUUAAAAGUACAAAAACCGUUACAAAAAAUAUUGUUUUUUUUUUAAUGUCCCAAUAAGCUUCCUUUAAUUUUGAAAUUGAGUCAAUAUAUUUUAUCUGUAUCUUUUAUUUUAUCUUUUGUAUCUUGGGACAUCAUAUGGAGCGACUUGAAUGAAAACUUUCUGGCAAGCCUGAUUGGACUUAGUUUCCUGACCUGUAUAUAAGACCGUGGAUGUACGAUCGUACAAUGCAUGGAGCUCUCUCCAUGCUCCAUGGUACAAUGCUUCAAAUUAUGUGAUGUUUACGAUAAUUAUGUGACGAAUGGGAACGCUGGCCUGAUCCUAAGUAAAACGGAAUUUAGUUAUAUCAAAUCAUGUAUUUUUUUUUUAAGUUAAUAAAUUACAUAUGAAUUCGCUUUAAGCCUUUUAAUUAUUCUCCUUAAAUACUUUUUACACCUUUUUUACAUUUAUACCUUUACAUAUAUAAUGUAUAACACGCUUUAAAAUCAACAAGCACUUUGAAAUUGAAACGGACGUAAACCAGUGAUUCCCAAGGUGGUCUAUAUCGACCACCAAGGGUCUAUGACAACCUGAAGUCCACGAU
rnacentral:misc_RNA from 1 species